rnacentral:rRNA from 1 species
UAACGAGUAACUGAACAGGUUGUAKCUGGCUCUCGGGGCAUGUGCACGCCUGGCUCACCACUCUUCAACCUCUGUGCACUUGUUGUAGGUCGGUAGAAGAGCGAGCAUCCUCUGAUGCUUGCUUGGAAGCCUUCCUAUGUUUUACUACAAACGCUUCAGUUUAAGAAUGUCUACCUGCGUAUAACGCAUCUAUAUACAACUUUCAGCAACGGAUCUCUUGGCUCUCGCAUCGAUGAAGAACGCAGCGAAAUGCGAUAAGUAAUGGUGCCUGAAUGAAUUGCAGAAUUCAGUGAAUCAUCGAAUCUUUGAACGCACCUUGCGCUCCCUGGUAUUCCGGGGAGCAGGGNUGCCUGUUUGAGUGUCAUGGUAUCCUCAACCUUCAUAACUUUUUGUUAUCCCUGAAAUGCUGCGCGUCCUAACUGAUUUACCCCAUCGAGAUGANGAAGCUUGGACUUGGAGGUUGUGCUGGCUUCUANUCAAGUCGGCUCCUCUUAAAUGUAUUAGCGUGAGUGUAACGGAUCGCUAAAUGGGCGCCGUGCACGUCUUCGGUGUGAUAAUUAUCUGCGCCGUGGUCGUGAAGUAACAUAAGCUUGCGCUUCUAACCGUCCUUCAGUUUGGACAAUUUACUUUGACAUCUGA